rnacentral:rRNA from 1 species
AGAGUUUGAUCCUGGCUCAGGAUGAACGCUGGCGGCGUGCCUAACACAUGCAAGUCGAGCGAUCUUCUUCGGAAGAGAGCGGCGGACGGGUGAGUAACGCAUGGGUAACCUGCCUCAUACACAUGGAUAACAUACCGAAAGGUAUGCUAAUACAAGAUGAUAUAAGAGAUUCGCAUGGAUUUCUUAUCAAAGCUCCGGCGGUAUGAGAUGGACCCGCGUCUGAUUAGCUAGUUGGUAAGGUAACGGCUUACCAAGGCGACGAUCAGUAGCCGACCUGAGAGGGUGAUCGGCCACAUUGGAACUGAGACACGGUCCAAACUCCUACGGGAGGCAGCAGUGGGGAAUAUUGCACAAUGGGCGAAAGCCUGAUGCAGCAACGCCGCGUGAGCGAUGAAGGCCUUCGGGUCGUAAAGCUCUGUCCUCAAGGAAGAUAAUGACGGUACUUGAGGAGGAAGCCCCGGCUAACUACGUGCCAGCAGCCGCGGUAAUACGUAGGGGGCUAGCGUUAUCCGGAUUUACUGGGCGUAAAGGGUGCGUAGGUGGUUUCUUAAGUCAGGAGUGAAAGGCUACGGCUCAACCGUAGUAAGCUCUUGAAACUGGGAAACUUGAGUGCAGGAGAGGAAAGUGGAAUUCCUAGUGUAGCGGUGAAAUGCGUAGAUAUUAGGAGGAACACCAGUAGCGAAGGCGGCUUUCUGGACUGUAACUGACACUGAGGCACGAAAGCGUGGGGAGCAAACAGGAUUAGAUACCCUGGUAGUCCACGCCGUAAACGAUGAGUACUAGGUGUCGGGGGUUACCCCCCUCGGUGCCGCAGCUAACGCAUUAAGUACUCCGCCUGGGGAGUACGCUCGCAAGAGUGAAACUCAAAGGAAUUGACGG